rnacentral:misc_RNA from 1 species
GAUCAGCUUGCUCUUCCUCUUCAUUAAGAAGUUGGUAUCUUUGAUUUGCUUCUUCAAUAUUAGUAGCUGGUGCAUUUACAGAAUCCUUCUCAGUUUUCGAGUAUAUGAUUAGUCCAGUAACCACAAGUGCAAAAGCUGCAAAGUAUAGCCAUUCAACCUUUUGCUUGUAGAAAAAGGUUCUGAUGACAACUGCCCACACAUCGGAUGUGAGAAG